AACACAUGCAAGUCGAACGGUGAAGCCCCUCUUGCUGGGUGGAUCAGUGGCGAACGGGUGAGUAACACGUGAGCAACCUGCCCCGGACUCUGGGAUAAGCGCUGGAAACGGCGUCUAAUAUUGGAUAUGAGCUGCGAAGGCAUCUUCAGCAGUUGGAAAGAUUUUUUGGUCUGGGAUGGGCUCGCGGCCUAUCAGCUAUUUGGUGAGGUAACGGCUCACCAAGGCGUCGACGGGUAGCCGGCCUGAGAGGGUGACCGGCCACACUGGGACUGAUACACGGCCCAGACUCCUACGGGAGGCAGCAGUGGGGAAUAUUGCACAAUGGGCGCAAGCCUGAUGCACCUACGCCGCGUGAGGGACGACGGCCUUCAGGUUGUAAACCUCUUUUACCAAGGAAGAAGCGAAAGUGACGGUACUUGCCGAAAAAGCGCCGGCUAACUACGUGCCAGCAGCCGCGGUAAUACGUACGGCGCAAGCGUUAUCCGGAAUUAUUGGGCGUAUAGAGCUCGUAGGCGGUCUGUCGCGUCUGCUGUGAAAACCCGAGGCUCAACCUCGGGCCUGCAGUGGGUACGGGCAGACUAGAGUGCGGUAGGGGAGAUUGGAAUUCCUGGUGUAGCGGUGGAAUGCGCAGAUAUCAGGAGGAACACCGAUGGCGAAGGCAGAUCUCUGGGCCGUAACUGACGCUGAGGAGCGAAAGGGUGGGGAGCAAACAGGCUUAGAUACCCUGGUAGUCCACCCCGUAAACGUUGGGAACUAGUUGUGGGGUCCAUUCCACGGAUUCCGUGACGCAGCUAACGCAUUAAGUUCCCCGCCUGGGGAGUACGGCCGCAAGGCUAAAACUCAAAGGAAUUGACGGGGACCCGCACAAGCGGCGGAGCAUGCGGAUUAAUUCGAUGCAACGCGAAGAACCUUACCAAGGCUUGACAUACACGAGAACGCUGCAGAAAUGUAGAACUCUUUGGACACUCGUGAACAGGUGGUGCAUGGUUGUCGUCAGCUCGUGUCGUGAGAUGUUGGGUUAAGUCCCGCAACGAGCGCAACCCUCGUUCUAUGUUGCCAGCACGUAAUGGUGGGAACUCAUGGGAUACUGCCGGGGUCAACUCGGAGGAAGGUGGGGAUGACGUCAAAUCAUCAUGCCCCUUAUGUCUUGGGCUUCACGCAUGCUACAAUGGCCGGUACAAAGGGCUGCAAUACCGUGAGGUGGAGCGAAUCCCAAAAAGCCGGUCCCAGUUCGGAUUGAGGUCUGCAACUCGACCUCAUGAAGUCGGAGUCGCUAGUAAUCGCAGAUCAGCAACGCUGCGGUGAAUACGUUCCCGGGUCUUGUACACACCGCCCGUCAAGUCAUGAAAGUCGGUAACACCUGAAGCCGGUGGCCCAACCCUUGUGGAGGGAGCCGUCGAAGGUGGGAUCGGUAAUU
rnacentral:rRNA from 1 species